rnacentral:snRNA from 1 species
GAAGCAGCAUCAGCCAUGUGGAAGUCCAGUGUAGUAUCUGUUCUCGUCAGUUUAAUAUCUGAAGCAUCUUCUGUCCGAGGACAACAGAAGAAGUAAAUUUUAGGAGCAGGGAGGUUGAAGGGAAGCUUGCUUCAUCCAAUUCAUGCAUUGACUUGGUAUUGCAGUACCUCUAGGAAUGGUGCACAUCCU